rnacentral:rRNA from 1 species
GCAGUCGACGGGAUCCAUCGGGCUUUGCUUGGUGGUGAGAGUGGCGAACGGGUGAGUAAUGCGUGACCGACCUGCCCCAUGCUCCGGAAUAGCUCCUGGAAACGGGUGGUAAUGCCGGAUGUUCCACAUGAUCGCAUGUGAUUGUGGGAAAGAUUUCAUCGGCGUGGGAUGGGGUCGCGUCCUAUCAGCUUGUUGGUGAGGUAACGGCUCACCAAGGCUUCGACGGGUAGCCGGCCUGAGAGGGCGACCGGCCACAUUGGGACUGAGAUACGGCCCAGACUCCUACGGGAGGCAGCAGUGGGGAAUAUUGCACAAUGGGCGCAAGCCUGAUGCAGCGACGCCGCGUGAGGGAUGGAGGCCUUCGGGUUGUAAACCUCUUUUGUUUGGGAGCAAGCCUUCGGGUGAGUGUACCUUUCGAAUAAGCGCCGGCUAACUACGUGCCAGCAGCCGCGGUAAUACGUAGGGCGCAAGCGUUAUCCGGAUUUAUUGGGCGUAAAGGGCUCGUAGGCGGCUCGUCGCGUCCGGUGUGAAAGUCCAUCGCUUAACGGUGGAUCUGCGCCGGGUACGGGCGGGCUGGAGUGCGGUAGGGGAGACUGGAAUUCCCCGGUGUAACGGUGGAAUGUGUAGAUAUCGGGAAGAACACCGAUGGCGAAGGCAGGUCUCUGGGCCGUCACUGACGCUGAGGAGCGAAAGCGUGGGGAGCGAACAGGAUUAGAUACCCUGGUAGUCCACGCCGUAAACGGUGGACGCUGGAUGUGGGGCACGUUCCACGUGUUCCGUGUCGGAGCUAACGCGUUAAGCGUCCCGCCUGGGGAGUACGGCCGCAAGGCUAAACUCAAAGAAAUUGACGGGGGCCCGCACAAGCGGCGGAGCAUGCGGAUUAAUUCGAUGCAACGCGAAGAACCUUACCUGGGCUUGACAUGUUCCCGACGACGCCAGAGAUGGCGUUUCCCUUCGGGGCGGGUUCACAGGUGGUGCAUGGUCGUCGUCAGCUCGUGUCGUGAGAUGUUGGGUUAAGUCCCGCAACGAGCGCAACCCUCGCCCCGUGUUGCCAGCACGUUAUGGUGGGAACUCACGGGGGACCGCCGGGGUUAACUCGGAGGAAGGUGGGGAUGACGUCAGAUCAUCAUGCCCCUUACGUCCAGGGCUUCACGCAUGCUACAAUGGCCGGUACAGCGGGAUGCGACAUGGCGACAUGGAGCGGAUCCCUGAAAACCGGUCUCAGUUCGGAUCGGAGCCUGCAACCCGGCUCCGUGAAGGCGGAGUCGCUAGUAAUCGCGGAUCAGCAACGCCGCGGUGAAUGCGUUCCCGGGCCUUGUACACACCGCCCGUCAUGUCAUGAAAGUGGGCAGCACCCGAAGC